CAGCCAGCCACCCUCCUCCAUGUCAGCCAGCCCACCCUCCUCCAUAGUCAGCCAGCCACCCUCCCAUAUGUCAGCCUCCCCCUCCAUGUGCCGCCAGCACCCUCCUCCAUUGUCAGCCAGCCACCCCCUCAUGUGUCGCCAGCCACCCCUCCUCCAUGUGUCAGCCAGCCACCCUCCUCCAUGUGUCAGCCACCACCUCCUCCAUAUGUCAGCCUGCCACCCUCCUCCAUAUGUCAGCCAGCCACCCUCCUCCGUAUGUCAGCACCCACCUCCUCCCUAUGUCACCAGCCACCCUCCUCCAUAUGUCAGCCAGCCACCCUCCUCCAUAUCACCAGCCACCUCCUCCAUGUGUCAGCCAGCCACCCUCCUUCAUGUGUCAGCCACAGCCACCCCCUCCAUAUGUCAGCCGCCACCCUCUUCCAUAUGUCAGCCAGCCUCCUCCAUAUGUCAGCCUCCCUCCUCCAUAUGUCAGCCACCAUUCCUCCAUAUGCAGCCAGCCUCCUCCAAUGUCAGCCAUCGCUCCCCGAUAUGGUCAGCCAGCCUCCCUAAACCAUAUGUCAGCCAGUCCCCU
rnacentral:lncRNA from 1 species